UAAUAAUUUUAUUUAAUAGUAAAAAAACACAUCAGUGUAUCAGACAAUAGGCAGCUACACAUCAGCAUGGUAUGUGGAUUGGAGUCUUGAGGAGGAACUUAAUGGGGACGAACACAAUAUAAUUCCUUGAAGCCAUCAUUACAGAAAGACCAAAACUAGUUUAAAGGAAAUCUGGCACCUAAGAAGCAAAAUAAAAGGAUACUAAAAUUCACUGCAACUACCAAUUUAAUAGUUGCAGUUACAAUACAUUUAUUAUAGCAAAUUGGCCAGCAACAUGAUCAGUGGACACAAAAUCGACCGGACUAAACCUGGCAGGAAUAUACAUUUAUGCUGGACAAACCAAGGUGCCUCUGUCACUAUUAAUGCUAAGACUCUUUUACGUAUAAAAAAUAUACGACAAAGCAAAGGCCGAAAAGGAAAAUUUAAUAAAUAUCCACAAGAUUAUAAUGUUUAAAGGAAUCCCUGGAGGAUCAUACAAUACGGGCCGCUUUAAAAGAAUUGUGGCUCUUUCAACAGUGUACGAUACGCAAAAAUUGAUUUAUUCAGAAAAGUUGGGCUCAACUAUUGCUUAUAUUAUUUUGAGAUUAAAGACAUCAACCCAUAAAAUGGAGAACAAAUCCCAAAACUCAAAAAACAAAACAAAAGCCUACAAGAAUUGAUGUUCAAACAUUCUAUGGCAGGCCUUUGUCUCACAGCAGAUCGAUUUUUCCAGAAAUUACGAAAGAGAGAAGAACAUAUUCAUUGAAAAAAGCGAGUUACCAUUUUAGAAUUUAUAUUUUCCAACAAUUUAUAAUUUAAUAUAUCCACCGAAUAAACAUUAUUCUGUAAAAUCA
rnacentral:lncRNA from 1 species